GACGAACGCUGGCGGCGUGCCUAAUACAUGCAAGUCGAGCGGAUCUUUAGGAGCUUGCUCCUGAAGAUUAGCGGCGGACGGGUGAGUAACACGUGGGCAACCUGCCUGUAAGACUGGGAUAACACCGGGAAACCGGUGCUAAUACCGGAUAAUCCUUUUCCUCACAUGGGGGAAAGCUGAAAGACGGUUUCGGCUGUCACUUACAGAUGGGCCCGCGGCGCAUUAGCUAGUUGGUGAGGUAACGGCUCACCAAGGCGACGAUGCGUAGCCGACCUGAGAGGGUGAUCGGCCACACUGGGACUGAGACACGGCCCAGACUCCUACGGGAGGCAGCAGUAGGGAAUCUUCCGCAAUGGACGAAAGUCUGACGGAGCAACGCCGCGUGAGCGAUGAAGGCCUUCGGGUCGUAAAGCUCUGUUGUUAGGGAAGAACAAGUAUCGGAGUAACUGCCGGUACCUUGACGGUACCUAACCAGAAAGCCACGGCUAACUACGUGCCAGCAGCCGCGGUAAUACGUAGGUGGCAAGCGUUGUCCGGAAUUAUUGGGCGUAAAGCGCGCGCAGGCGGUCCUUUAAGUCUGAUGUGAAAGCCCACGGCUCAACCGUGGAGGGUCAUUGGAAACUGGGGGACUUGAGUGCAGAAGAGGAAAGUGGAAUUCCACGUGUAGCGGUGAAAUGCGUAGAGAUGUGGAGGAACACCAGUGGCGAAGGCGACUUUCUGGUCUGUAACUGACGCUGAGGCGCGAAAGCGUGGGGAGCAAACAGGAUUAGAUACCCUGGUAGUCCACGCCGUAAACGAUGAGUGCUAAGUGUUAGAGGGUUUCCGCCCUUUAGUGCUGCAGCUAACGCAUUAAGCACUCCGCCUGGGGAGUACGGCCGCAAGGCUG
rnacentral:rRNA from 1 species